ensembl:lncRNA
UAUAUUCUAUGGUAAACCAUGAUUAUUAAUAGGUUUUAUAUUUUUAAUGGUGGAAACCACAAGAUGCUUGCAGAGUCUGGGUUCAGAGCAGAUGGUAGGUGCACAGGAAUGUAUAGGGAACUGGGGGGAAGCUAAGUUGGUCUCAGCCCUUUCAGCCUUGGGUCAAGCUAAAGUUGACCUCAGCCCUUUCAGCUUUGGGUCAUCUUGGUUAAUGAGGUUGAUCCAUGCAGACCUCAGAACUGGGCAGUUGAUCCAUGCAGACCUCAGAACUGGGCAGUUGAUAACAUGCUGGGACGAAGAUUGACGGGCGGAAACCCUGUUGUGACUCCAUUGUAAACAAAGAAAUUCCUAUACGUGUAUAAAGUGAGGCUGCAGCCCAAUGUUGGGCCAGUGACUCUGCAGACCCACUCAGGCUGUUGUCGUUGUUGUUUUUCUGCACGAUAAAGUCUUUUGUCAAUUCUUGCUCCGGACCCCUCGUUUUGUUUUACUCUCUCUCUCCUAAAUUAGUCUAAGUGUUUUAUAUCUCGGUUAAUCUUCUAUACCUGUAAGAUCAAUUCAGCAGCACUAUGCCCAACUUAGACAUCUCCUUAAAAAGCCUGACCAAGUAAGCCCACUGCUCCCCAUAGGAGCAUACUACACCCACCUCAUCACCCCGUUACAGCCUGUGAAGUUAGGUCCCCCUGCAGUGAUCCAAACCCUGCUUGGCUGGACACUGCAGGGCCCUGCUAGGGAUAUUGCUAGCUCCCCGGGUGUCACUAUAUCUCCCACCUGAUGACAUCCAUCACAAUGUGCAGAAACUAUGGCAGCUGGACGUGUUGUCUCCGAGAAGCAUCAGAGAGGUGGUGCGCUCUAAACACGAUCAGCAGACAAUCCAGUAACUGGAGACACAAACCAUCAGGGACCUGUUAAUGGAGUCCUACGGUAUACCAAUCCUCUUCUCAGAGCACACCCCUGGCUCCCCCUCAAGGCCCAGAAGGAGCCGGCUAUGUCCCGUCUUUGCAGCUGUGAAAGGAGACUCUCAAAACCUGCAACAGGCAGAGACCUAUAACGAGAUCCAGAAAUGUAUUACUGCCGGACAGUAUCCGCUUCCUGUGUUGUCCAGGCCAUCAGAG